rnacentral:rRNA from 1 species
UGGGAAGUAUUGCGUCAAUGGGCAGGAAAGCCAUGACCGCAGCGACGCCGCGUGGGGGGAUGAAGGCCUUCGGGUUGUAAACCUCUUUCGGCAGGGACGAAGUUGACGUAUACCUGCGGAAGAAGCGCCGGCUAACUACGUGCCAGCAGCCGCGGUAAUACGUAGGGCGCGAGCGUUGUCCGGAAUUAUUGGGCGUAAAGAGCUCGUAGGCGGCUGGUCGCGUCUGCCGUGAAAGCCCGCGGCUUAACCGUGGGUCUGCGGUGGAUACGGGCCGGCUAGAGGCAGGCAGGGCAAGUGGAAUUCCUGGUGUAGCGGUGAAAUGCGCAGAUAUCAGGAGGAACACCGGUGGCGAAGGGCGGCUUUUGCUUGGGCCUUGUCCUGACGCUGAGGAGCGAAAGCGUGGGGAGCGAACA